rnacentral:SRP_RNA from 1 species
GCCAGGCAUGGUGGCUCAUGCAUGUAGUCCCAGCUCCUUGGGAGGCUGAGGCAGGAGGGUCACUUGAGCCUAGGAGUUUGAGGUUGCAGUGAGCUGUGAUUAUGCCACUACACUCCAGCCUGGGUGACAGAGUGAGAUCCUGUCUCUU